ACUACGACCAUUACUGCAAAAACAGAAAGCACAACUGCCAUACAAAUGGAAACAACAACAGUUAUUUCAUCCUCAACUGAUACAACAAUUUCAAGCUCCACGACAUCCAUUCAAACAACUCUGGCAAAAAGCUCCUCGACGCUUAAAGAAACAACUCUUUUAUCCUCCACAACAACUCGUGCAUUAAACACGACUGCAUGCUUUUCUACAGUUUUACCUGAAGGAAACAAAUCAGAUAUUUUUUUCAAGGUCAACGUCAAUGUAACCAUCACAGGCCCUGGUGAACCCAAGACUAUCAUUCAACUCUGGCUUAACGAUACACUUUCUAGUAAAGGAAUAUCAGUGUUGAACUUCAAACUUGUUCCCUCUUCAACACAC